rnacentral:rRNA from 1 species
CCCUUAGAUGUUCUGGGCCGCACGCGUGCUACACUGAGUGGAUCAGCGGGCCAGGUUGCGCGAAAGCGUUUCCUAAUCUUUAAAUCCGCUCGUGAUGGGGAUUGACGGUUGCAAUUUUCUGUCAUGAACGAGGAAUACCUUGUAAGCGCGGGUCAUCAUCCCGCGCUGAAUACGUCCCUGCCCUUUGUACACACCGCCCGUCGCUCCUACCGAUUGAGUGGUCCGGUGAGGCUUUGGGAUCUAAGCGGAAAGAGCGUUUCGCUGUUUCUGCUCGGAAAACUCAGUCGAACCUUAUCAUUUAGAGGAGGGAGAAGUCGUAACA